rnacentral:rRNA from 1 species
CUACGGGAUGCACCAGUAGGGAAUCUUCCGCAAUGGACGAAAGACUGACGGAGCAACGCCGCGUGAGUGAUGAAGGCUUUCGGGUCGUAAAACUCUGUUGUUAGGGAAGAACAAGUGCUAGUUGAAUAAGCUGGCACCUUGACGGUACCUGACCAGAAAGCCACGGCUAACUACGUGCCAGCAGCCGCGGUAAUACAUAGGUGGCAAGCGUUAUCUGGAAUUAUUGGGCGUAAAGCGCGCGCAGGUGGUUUCUUAAGUCUGAUGUGAAAGCCCACGGCUCAACCGUGGAGGGUCAUUGGAAACUGGGAGACUUGAGUGCAGAAGAGGAAAGUGGAAUUCCAUGUGUAGCGGUGAAAUGCGUAGAGAUAUGGAGGAACACCAGUGGCGAAGGCGACUUUCUGGUCUGUAACUGUCACUGAGGCGCGAAAGCGUGGGGAGCAAACAGGAUUAGAUACCCCCGUAGUC